GACGAACGCUGGCGGCGUGCCUAAUACAUGCAAGUAGAACGCAGUUGCGAACGGGUGAGUCACGCGUAGGUACCUGCCUCAUAGCGGGGGAUACCUAUUUUACCCGUUAGCUAAUACCGCAUACUUUGGUCUGGCCCUCCGUUGGAUUAGCUAGUUGGUGAGGUAAAGGCUCACCAAGGCGAACAUACAUAGCCGACCUGAGAGGGUGAUCGGCCACAACGGGAAUGAGACACGGCCCAGACUCAUACGGGAGGCAGCAGUAGGGAAUCAUCGGCAAUGGACGGAAGUCUGACCGAGCAACGCCGCGGGAGUGAAGAAGGUUUUCGGAUCGUAAAGCUCUGUUGUUAGAGAAGCGGUAACUAAACAGAAAGGGACGGCUAACUACGUGCCAGCAGCCGCGGUAAUAC
rnacentral:rRNA from 1 species